CAAUAGCGUAUAUUAAAGUUGUUGCGGUUAAAAAGCUCGUAGUUGGAUUUGUGGCUGUCACGGGCGGCCUAUCACUUAGUGUUAGUGCUUGCCUGUGUCGCCAUCCUUGGGUGGAGCCCGUGUGGCAUUAGGUUGUCGUGCGGGGGAUGCCCAUCGUUUACUGUGAGAAAAUUAGAGUGUUCAAAGCAGGCUUAUGCCGUUGAAUAUGUUAGCAUGGAAUAAUAAGAUAGGACCUCGGUACUAUUUUGUUGGUUUGCGCACCGAGGUAAUGAUUAAUAGGGACAGUUGGGGGUAUUCGUAUUUCAUUGUCAGAGGUGAAAUUCUUGGAUUUCUGAAAGACGAACUACUGCGAAAGCAUUUACCAAGGAUGUUUUCAUUAA
rnacentral:rRNA from 1 species